rnacentral:rRNA from 1 species
UACAGAGGUCUCAACCGUUGUUCGGAUUCAUUGGGCGUAAAGGGUGCGUAGGCGGUCGCGUAAGUCAGGUGUGAAAUCCCGGGGCUCAACCCCGGAACUGCACUUGAUACUGCGUGGCUAGGGUACUGGAGAGGAGACUGGAAUUUACGGUGUAGCAGUGAAAUGCGUGGAUAUCGUGAGGAACACUAGUGGCGAAGGCGGAUGUCUGGACAGUAUCUGACGCUGAGGCACGAAGGCCAGGGGAGCGAACGGG